AUUGAACGCUGGCGGCAUGCCUUACACAUGCAAGUCGAACGGUAACAGGUUAAGCUGACGAGUGGCGAACGGGUGAGUAAUGUAUCGGAACGUGCCCAGUCGUGGGGGAUAACUGCUCGAAAGAGCAGCUAAUACCGCAUACGACCUGAGGGUGAAAGCGGGGGAUCGCAAGACCUCGCGCGAUUGGAGCGGCCGAUAUCAGAUUAGGUAGUUGGUGAGGUAAAGGCUCACCAAGCCGACGAUCUGUAGCUGGUCUGAGAGGACGACCAGCCACACUGGGACUGAGACACGGCCCAGACUCCUACGGGAGGCAGCAGUGGGGAAUUUUGGACAAUGGGCGCAAGCCUGAUCCAGCCAUGCCGCGUGCGUGAAGAAGGCCUUCGGGUUGUAAACCGCUUUUGUCAGGGAAGAAAAGGUUCUGGCUAAUACCUGGGACUCAUGACGGUACCUGAAGAAUAAGCACCGGCUAACUACGUG
rnacentral:rRNA from 1 species